GGAUCCAGACUUUGAUUCUGGCUCAGGAUAAACGCUGGCGGCGCACAUAAGACAUGCAAGUCGAACGGAAGUCGUUGUAAUGAAAUAGAAACGGACAGAGAACUUGUUCGAAGAAAGUGGAAGUAGACUUACAACAAUGGCUUUAGUGGCGGACUGGUGAGUAACGCGUAAGGAACCUGCCUUCUAGAGGGGAAUAACAAUGAGAAAUCAUUGCUAAUACCGCGUAUGCCGAGAGAAUCACAUGGUACAAUCGGGAAAAGAGUAAUCUGCUAGAAGAUGGCCUUGCGUCUGAUUAGAUAGUUGGUGGGGUAACGGCCUACCAAGUCGACGAUCAGUAGCCGGACUGAGAGGUUGAACGGCCACAUUGGGACUGAGAUACGGCCCAGACUCCUACGGGAGGCAGCAGUCGGGAAUAUUGCGCAAUGGAGGAAACUCUGACGCAGUGACGCCGCGUAUAGGAAGAAGGUUUUCGGAUUGUAAACUAUUGUCGUUAGGGAAGAGAAAGGACAGUACCUAAGGAGGAAGCUCCGGCUAACUACGUGCCAGCAGCCGCGGUAAUACGUAGGGAGCGAGCGUUAUCCGGAAUUAUUGGGUGUAAAGGGUGCGUAGACGGGAAGAUAAGUUAGUUGUGAAAUCCCUCGGCUUAACUGAGGAACUGCAACUAAAACUGUUUUUCUUGAGUGCAGGAGAGGUAAGUGGAAUUCCUAGUGUAGCGGUGAAAUGCGUAGAUAUUAGGAGGAACACCAGUGGCGAAGGCGACUUACUGGACUGUAACUGACGUUGAGGCACGAAAGUGUGGGGAGCAAACAGGAUUAGAUACCCUGGUAGUCCACACCGUAAACGAUGGAUACUAGGUGUAG
rnacentral:rRNA from 1 species